rnacentral:rRNA from 1 species
ACUUGCUUUCUUUGCUGGCGACCGGCGCACGGGUGAGUAACACGUAUCCAACCUGCCCUUUACUCGGGGAUAGCCUUUCGAAAGAAAGAUUAACACCCGAUAGUAUAAUGAUUCCGCAUGGUUUCAUUAUUAAAGGAUUCCGGUAAAGGAUGGGGAUGCGUUCCAUUAGGUUGUUGGUGAGGUAACGGCUCACCAAGCCUUCGAUGGAUAGGGGUUCUGAGAGGAAGGUCCCCCACAUUGGAACUGAGACACGGUCCAAACUCCUACGGGAGGCAGCAUG